rnacentral:rRNA from 1 species
UACAGAGGGGGCAAGCGUUGUUCGGAAUUACUGGGCGUAAAGGGCGCGUAGGCGGCCUGCUAAGUCGAACGUGAAAUCCCUGGGCUCAACCCAGGAACUGCGUCCGAUACUGGAAGGCUUGAAUCCGGGAGAGGGAUGCGGAAUUCCAGGUGUAGCGGUGAAAUGCGUAGAUAUUGGGAAGAACACCUGAGGCGAAGGCGGGUUGCUGGGCUGAUACUGACGCUGAGGCGCGAAAGCCAGGGGAGCAAACGGG